AAAUCAUCAUGAACACUUACCACGCUGCGCUUUGGUCCUCUCUUUCUCCCGACGAAAACCCUUACAACAGCAAGCAAGUCAGUUAAGAACAAAUUCUUAUUUACAAUGAUGGCCUACCCCAGCCAAACCCAGAUGACGCUGGGCCAAUUGUGCGCCGCCCUAUGGGACUCCCAAUCACUGCCGGAUGUGAUACAGCCUGGAUUCGAACCAGGGACUGUAGGGACGCCUCUUGCACUGAGUUGCAGUGCCUUAGACCGCUGCGUCCAUGUGGGUAUACAGACAAGGGGGCAUAUACCUACACCUCUGAUGAAUAUAACAGGAAACCUGCUCGAUCACCAUUCGCUGCAAAAUCAUUCUGGCUAUAGAUACGGAGAACAUCAACACGCCAGAGGAUAUACCCAUUGGACUUUGCUACUAAAAUCAUAACAAACACUGAGAACUAGAAGAUUGUGUUGUUGUUAUUAUUAUGCAUAUUAUAAUGAAUAAUAAUAAUAAUAACUGGGCUGGUGGGGUAUGUAAAACAAUUACUCAAAUUUUAUUCAAAAGGUUCUUUGAGGAUCCAUUAAAAAGGGUUCUUCAAAGAACUUAUAGGGGUACCCCCACCGUUUCAAUUUGAAGAACGCCUAAAGGAUACUCCAGGAACCUUUUCUUAAAGGCAAACUGAAAUCUUAUGAGAAAUAUUUUUGAUUGUUAUCACAGUUUUUUAUUUCUUUAAAACCAGUCAACUGGUUGUUUGGAACUUUUUUUCUGCACCCAACUGUGAAAACAUUGUUCCGCUGUCUCUGUGAAUGGGCAUGAGUUAACCCUGCAAUUUUUGUAAAUGUGUAAUUGGUGCUACUGUUGUUUUUUUAAUU